AAGAUGGCGGACGUCAGUGAUUCAAAUCCCAAAUCUGCAGAUGAAGGCCUAUGCAAUCCAAGUGCGAAAGCUAAAAGACUGGGGGUAAAUCUUGCUACCCCAGUAAAGCUAAAAUAGCCAGAAAAAGAAAAAUACAGAUCCGGCCGGUAAAAAGCGCUCUACGCGUGGGCAAAAUUACCCAAAGGAUUCUCGAGGUGGAAAGAAACAGAAUCCUCAAAAUACCUGAGGACACGAUUACUCAGCCAGCUCCGGAGGUUACAUUAAAGUUCAAGGAACAAAAAAACUCGACUGCCCAGCAAGUUUGCAAGUGCGAGCUAUACGGCUGUACACUGAUUAUACUUUAGAAUCUGAAGAGUGCUCGUCAAAGAAAGUUGUACGGAAGGCAAAAGCCGGGAUUCUUAGGUAAUUAAAAGAUGACAUGCAGACGGGAAAGCGCUUAAGAACGACAACAAGAUUCUAUUUCAGGCUUCCCCUUAGUACAGCACACAAAGUACAUCCUGUCGGUCAGGUCGCCACAGUAGGUCACUUCAUCCAUCCGAAAAUCGAAAGCAAGAUCCGCGAGCCAGUUAGUGGAAAUAUAACUAGUCCAGAUGUGGUACGGAAAUGCUUGGAGCAGAAGACCGACAAAGAAAUGUUUGGAAGUCAUGAAGGUCAUCAGAAACCCCGAAAGUCGAACUGAAGAUAUUUCCCCGUUCGCCAAGAUUUGCGAAGUCAUGUCGCACGAGCAAUCAGCGCCAGCAAAUACUGCGGUGAUGACCAAGAGUCACUAAAGCGCAAGACUGAGCAAUGGAGGUGUGACUCACCAUCAUCCAAGUUCUACUUCAGGACAAGGGACGAGGUCAAGGAUGGCGACGAGACAAAGUUUCUCUUCGCACACUAAGAAGAAUGGCAGCAGAGGCUUCUCCUCAGGUAUGGCAGUAACUUUGUACUAAUGGAUGCCACGACUAAGUAUGCGAUCCCUUUGUUUUUCGUGUGUGUCCACACAAAUGUGGGUUAUGAGAUUGUAGCCAAAUUUCACUACCAGAACGAGGACAAUGAAUGCAUCGCGGAAGAACUUAAUAUCAUCAAGAGCUGGAAUCCUACGUGAAAACCAAAGUAUUUCAUGGUAGAUUAUUCGAUGGCGGAAAUAAAUGCUAUAAAAAGCGAAUUCCCAGAUGUUGAGGUAUACAUAAGCGACUUUCACCGCGGGAAGGCGUAGCAGAGAUGGGUCAAAGCUGGCAGUAAUGUACUGACCGAGGGGAACAAAAGAUGUUUCUAGAACUGAUGCAAGCAAUUGCUCGUGCUCGUUCGAAGACGUUCUACAAGAAGGCCGUGGAAAGCCAAAGAAAGUUGUACAUGGGAAAUCCCAAGUACAAGAAUACUGCGAGGUGUGGUUGGACUGUUCCAAUCGUUGGGCUCAUGCAUUUCGUGUUCAACAGGCCGUCAACAUCGUGAAUAUCAACAAUGGAAUUGAAGCGCGGGAUAAAUUGUUCAAAUACAGCUAUUUGCCUGGAUCACUCGACAAAUUAGUUUUAGGAAUAGUGGUGAUGAUUGUGGAGUCGUUUAUCCCUGAUUCCUACCAACAUUACCUAAACAUGACGUGAAACGUGUCAAUUUAGAAAAGGGUGAAUUUCUCGUCAAAAGCAGUUCGAAAAGUACGAAGCUGUUUGCUGUCAAGCUGUCGUAGCCAAGCUGCAAAUGUGAAAGCUGGCGUAAAACGCAUUUCCCUUGUAAGCACAUUUUAGCUGUUUUCAGCUUCUUUGACAAGUGGAGUUUUAACAACUUACCAAAUUCCUACAAAAAUAGCGUCUUCAUAACUCUGGACACCGGGCAUUUUGAUCAAGCCGAUCCAGACGAAGAACCAACCUUGGAGCCGAGUUCAACGGACGAGGGAAAUGACGAUUACGGUCAAGUAUGCGGUGCAGAAACAACAGUUCCCGCAUUAUCUUCCAAUGAAGAUGAUGCACCUGCUCAAUCCAGUGGCACUUCUUCCUGGCCAAAAAUCGACGACAACGAGCAACCUUUAAUAACUCAAAAGCUCAGAAAGCGCCUUCAGGAAAAAAAAAAAUCGAUGAAUUGAGAUCAGCAACAUUCGUGGUCGAUGAUUCAGCUAUCCUUGAGAAUACUAUCCCGACUGUGGAAUCUCUGCCAAAGGAUCUUUGUAGAGGUUCCUCUAUUGAAAAUGGCCUUCCUCUUAGACAUAGUCCUGCAAAAAAGAAGCUCAAAGUUACAGAGGUAGACUACCACAAGGUGAAACAUGAGACACUUCCCAACACGACACGGCAAGAGAAGGAAGGACAGGGGUGUGGUUGUAGACUUGACAAAGGAUGACGGCAAUUCCAAAGACAGUGCUGUGGAAUUAGAAGAGGCCUUAUCAGCUAGGAGAGUCAGAAAUACAGUUGUGUGACGCAGUGACGAGAGUUAAGACCUUGCAAGUCAACACUGGUAUACGCAAUUCAGUACUGAAAGUAGGGCCAUUCAAAGUAACCGUUUCUGACUUGCUAGCCACUCUUCCUCCUAGCACUUUGUUUGCAAAAGGAACACAGAAAAUUAAAGGAGAUCCCUAGUUUUGUGGAUGGUGGUUAACUGAUACGAUCGUUGAUGCUACACUGUGGAAACUAACAAAACUACACCAAAAAAUCUUUGCUUCUGACAGUAGCCUUUGUCAGUUGGUGAAUCAUGGGGCAAGUACACGUAGAUUGUGGAUGGGCGAGAAGUUCCAUGGAAUUGAAAAAAUUCUUAAUCCAAUGAAUAUCACUGGACGUCAGUGGACAUUGCUGAUUUUAGAUAACAAGGAAUCUACCUGUGUCUAUAUUGAUCCUAUUCAUGGAAACAAACAUCCACAUGAAAUAACAGCAGCUUCCAAUCCCAGCCUGUACAGACUUAUAAAUAACAUAGGUGAAGCUGCUGACAUCAAAAUAGGCUGGAAAGUAAAGAGUGGACAUGCCUUGAGCCACCCCAUUUUCAGCAAACUAAUGGAUUCAACUGUGGAGUACGUUUUUGUGAGUUUGCCAGGAACUUGUGUGAUAACAGGCCGAUCACAAAGGUCAAUGUUUCUAUUGAGAGAAUGAAGUUUCUAUCCAACCUGUUGGGGAGCUGUUAUGAUGACAUUUUGAGUGGAAGGGAUGUUCUUGUUUGCAAGGUGUGUCAGAUGGAUGACAAUGAAGACUGGCUUGGCUGCAAAAGAUGUGGACAGUUUUUCCAUGCUAGUUGUGUGGGAGUGAACUUUGUCACGGCAUUGCAAGAUCCUUUUUUUUUAUUGUCCAUGAUCACACACUUAAAAACACACAAAUAGCAACAUAUUUAGGAGUCUUCUUUUCAUUUUUUAAAGUAUGUGAUGGAGUUGUGGCUCAGCUUGUUCAAAUUUACAUUCGAGGAAAAAAAAAUUGUUAGAAAGUGUAUUUUCUAAAAUAAGCUAUAUAAUUUAAAGCAUAUUUUUCCAAAGAAUAUGUGGUAAAAGGGCCUAAGAGGUGUACUGUUAACAGACAAAUCAUUUAAGUCAGUCAAAAUUUGACCGACUGAAUGUGACCAGUAGUACUUCUUUGUUACAGUCACAGCAAAUGUUCCUUGAUUUAGGCACUCAUUUGCUGAGAAACUCAUGAAAUAGAUAGGUCAUGUUCAUUAAACAUCUCUUUGGACAAGAACCGUGGAACCAACAAUUUCAGAAACUGUAAUCGUAAAGAAAGCAAGAGAGAACCAAAAGGGACACAAACAAGCAAAAGACAAAACAAGAAGCAGGUGAUAAAAUGCCCUUUUUUACACUGUACAUUCCAAUCUGAUUGAUAAACCAUUUACCAACCAUUUACAAGACAAAUGGCCGAAGCAUUAGCCUGUAAAGGUCGAGUUCUAAAUAUUUCAUAUCCUUGUACUGGUAACAAAAAAUGAAAAAAAAC